AACGCACAUUGCGCCCGCCAGUAUUCUGGCGGGCAUGCCUGUUCGAGCGUCAUUUCAACCAUCAAGCCCCCGGGCUUGUGUUGGGGACCUGCGGCUGCCGCAGGCCCCGAAAACCAGUGGCGGGCUCGCUGUCACCCCGAGCGUAGUAGUUUACACCUCGCCCAGGGCGUGCCGCGGGUUUCCCGGCCGUUAAACCCCCCAUACCACAAGGUUGACCUCGGAUCAGGUAGGAAGACCCGCUGAACUUAA
rnacentral:misc_RNA from 1 species